rnacentral:rRNA from 1 species
CAAGUCGAACGAUGAAGCCUGGCUUGCUGGGUGGAUUAGUGGCGAACGGGUGAGUAACACGUGAGUAACCUGCCCUUGACUCUGGGAUAAGCGCUGGAAACGGUGUCUAAUACUGGAUAUUACCUUGCCUGGCAUCGGGUGGGGUGGAAAGUUUUUCGGUUGGGGAUGGACUCGCGGCCUAUCAGCUUGUUGGUGAGGUAAUGGCUUACCAAGGCGACGACGGGUAGCCGGCCUGAGAGGGUGACCGGCCACACUGGGACUGAGACACGGCCCAGACUCCUACGGGAGGCAGCAGUGGGGAAUAUUGCACAAUGGGCGCAAGCCUGAUGCAGCAACGCCGCGUGGGGGAUGACGGCCUUCGGGUUGUAAACCUCUUUUAGUAGGGAAGAAGGGCUUCGGCUUGACGGUACCUGCAGAAAAAGCACCGGCUAACUACGUGCCAGCAGCCGCGGUAAUACGUAGGGUGCAAGCGUUGUCCGGAAUUAUUGGGCGUAAAGAGCUCGUAGGCGGUUUGUCGCGUCUGCUGUGAAAUCCUGAGGCUUAACUUCGGGCUUGCAGUGGGUACGGGCAGACUAGAGUGCGGUAGGGGAGAAUGGAAUUCCUGGUGUAGCGGUGGAAUGCGCAGAUAUCAGGAGGAACACCGAUGGCGAAGGCAGUUCUCUGGGCCGUAACUGACGCUGAGGAGCGAAAGCGUGGGGAGCGAACAGGAUUAGAUACCCUGGUAGUCCACGCCGUAAACGUUGGGCGCUAGAUGUGGGGACCUUUCCACGGUUUCCGUGUCGC